rnacentral:rRNA from 1 species
CCUUGUACACACCGCCCGUCACACCAUGGGAGUUGGUUUUACCCGAAGCCGGUGCUGCUGACCCGCGAGGGGGGCAGCCGACCACGGUAAGGUCAGCGACUGGGGUG